GAGCUUCAUUCCUCUCUCAACCCGGGUUUUGAGAUGUGAGUGUGGAGCUCGCUGCUGAAGGCCGACCCACGAGCGCAUAAACGCCUGAGACUGACCCAGGUACGCUAACAAAUGGUAACGGAGCUCAGGCCCGCCUGUUUAGGGGAUGGAAUGUCACGAACUAUGUGUAGCCUGGGUUAGUACCACCUCGCUUGCGGGAGGGGGUCGUGGCCGGCUUAUAAGGGCGAGCUUCAUUCCUCUCUCAACCCGGGUUUUGAGAUGUGAGUGUGGAGCUCGCUGCUGAAGGCCGACCCACGAGCGCAUAAACGCCUGAGACUGGCCCAGGUUGUCGGCGUUUCGAGACAGGGGGGUCCCUAAGCCGACGAGUGAGUGUGCUGCGUGCCCCAGCCCAGAUGGGUCGAGCGCGUGGGCGAGCGCGAAGGGGGGAGAGGCGAGGUGGCCGGAGCCGAGCGUGAGAGAGGUGGAAGUUCCGCGGCCUUCGUGUUCGUCCCGCGCCCAGGUCAGGUGCGCUUGCAGUAGGGGGGUUACAAGCGUCCACGCGGGUGAGGGAAGCGAGCGGCCCCAAGAGAGCGCCUGUCCCGUCCUCGGUCCCGCGCGGCCAACCUUCUCUAAGAAGGCCCUGGUCCUCCCUUUUAUAGUCGUAAGGAGAGGAUCCAGGUGUACAAUGGGGGGUGUAGCAGAGUGCUACGUGUCUAGCGGAGGGAGAGCUAGCGCCCUAGGUACAUGCCAAUGUGGCAGCCGGAGAGAUCUGGGCACCCUGCUGGCGUGAUGUCGUGGCUGUCGGAGGUGCGGCGGAGCCUGGUGGAGGGACAGCUGUUGGAGCGGUCGAAUCCCUGCUGACGUCGUCCUGCUUUCGUAAGAGAGCUGGGGGCCGCCGUCGUCAUAGAGCUUGUGGAGCGCCAUCAUUGCCCUCCGGCGGAGCUGGCCGGAUGGGACGCCGGUCUUGUUCUUCGUGACCCGAGUCGAUUCGGGGUAGGAUGAUGAUGGCGCUUCCUGUCGACGUGGCGGUCUGUGCCCUAGGCAGGGCGACGUGGGGGUUCCUCCGAAGCCGAGGUUGAGUCUGCCUUCCGUUGCCGUGGCCGAGCCCGAGCCAUGGGGUCGGGCGAGGCGGAAGUCGUUCGGCCGAGGCCAGGGCGGAGUCCGAGCCCUGGGGUCGGGCGAGGCGGAAGUCGUUCGGCCGAGGCCAGGGCGGAGUCCGAGCCCUGGGGUCGGGCGAGGCGGAAGUUGUUCGGCCGAGGCCAGGGCGGAGUCCGAGCCCUGGGGUCGGGCGAGGCGGAGUUUCGUCGUCUUCCGGGUCUUAGCCCGAGUCCGAGCCCUGGGGUCGGGCGAAGCGGAGUUUCGUCGUCUUCCGGGUCUUAGCCCGAGUCCGAGCCCUGGGGUCGGGCGGAGCGGAGUUUCGUCGUCUUCCGGGUCUUAGCCCGAGUCCGAGCCCUGGGGUCGGGCGGAGCGGAGUUCGCCGUCUUCCGGGUCUUAGCCCGAGUCCGAGCCCUGGGGUCGGGCGGAGCGGAGUUUCGUCGUCUUCCGGGUCUUAGCCCGAGUCCGAGCCCUGGGGUCGGGCGGGGCGGAGUUCGCCGUCUUCCGGGUCUUAGCCCGAGUCCGAGCCCUGGGGUCGGGCGGGGCGGAGUUCGCCGUGGCGCCUUUGGCAAGGCCUACUGCCUGUCAGACUCACUCUGUCGAGUGGCACUGCAGUCGGAGUGGCGCAGGCGGCGCUGUCCUUCUGUCAGACUGGCCAGUGGAGAGGUAGAGUGACGGCGGUCACCUCGGCUCUGCCGGGGGCGCGUGUCAGGAUAGAGGUGUCAGGCCACCUUUGCGUUAAAUGCCCCUGCAAUUUGGUCAGUCGGUGUGGUGAUUUAGUCAAGGUUGCUUCUGAGCGAAGCCAAGGCCUUGGGCGAGCCGGUGAUGUGUCCGCCAUAAAAAGGGGGCCUCGGGCGAGACGGAAGUCUCUCGAGGUCGGCUGCCUUUGGCCGAGGCUAGGCUCGGGUGAAGCGUGAUCGAGUCACUCGUGUGGACUGAUCCCUGACUUAAUCGUACCCAUCAGGCCUUUGCAGCUUUAUGCUGAUGGGGGUUACCAGCUGAGAAUUAGGCGCCUUGAGGGUACCCCUAAUUAUGGUCCCCGACAGUAGCCCCCGAGCCUCGAAGGGAGUGUUAGCACUCGCUUGGAGGCUUUUGUCGCACUUUUUUGCAAGGGGACCAGCCUUUCUCGGUUGCAUUUCGUUCCGGUGGGUGCGCGCGAGCGCACCCGCCGGGUGUAGCCCCCGAGGCCUCGGAGGAGUGGUUACACUCCUUCGAGGUCUUAAUACUUCGCUUAACGCUUCGGCUGGUCUGGUCGUUCCCUCAUGCGAACUGGCCGUAGCCCGGGUGCACGGUCGGGGCCCAAGCUCUCGGGCUGGUAUGUUGACGCUGUCAACGAUUUGGCCGGAGCCGGUUUUUGCGAGAGCAGCCCCCGAGCCUCUGCACAGGGCGAGAGGACGAUCAGGGACAGACUCGGCUUUUUACAUACGCCCCUACAUCGCCUUUCCGCAAGGAGGAGGGGGGAGUGCGCCAUGUUACCCUCGAUGGGCACCGAACAUGGUGUCUCCGGUGAGCUGCAAGCGGGUAAUCCGAGUGGACGUCCGUGCCCCGUUCGUUGGGGGUCGGCUAGGGGCCCAGAGGCACGCCCAAAAGUACCUGCGGGUGAUUUGCCGGACCUGGUCCCCUGGCGACGGGGUCCGAGGGCUCGAUGCCUCCCUCCGAUGGGAUUCCGUUACAAGAUCGUUCCCGCUGGUCUCGGAAAUGUCCUAGGGUACCUCGGGAGCGCAGCCCGAGCCUCGGUUAUGUAUCGAACGUACCCCUGGUCAUCCCUCGCUCGGCGUCUGAGGCGACUGUGAACCCUUCGGGGGCCAGCCUUCGAACCCCUGAUCAGUAAUGGGCACGGAGCCCGAGUAGCCUGAGGCGGCCAUGGAACCCUUCGGGGGGCUGGCCUUCGAACCCCUGACCAGUAGUGGGUGUCGGGCCCACGCGAUCUGAGGCGGCUGUUGAACCCUUCGGAGGGCCAGCCUUCGAACCCCUGAUCAGUAGUGGGGGGCUCGGAGCCCGGUUCCUUCGCGGAGAAGGAUCCCUUUCGGGGUAUCCCCCUUUCCCGGUCCCUGUUGCAAGAGAUAGAGAAAGAGGAAAACGGCAAAGGAUACGAAAUCGGACGACGUGGCGUACCUUUUCUGAAGCGGUUAUUACGGCGAAGGUGAAGCGUCGCGCGCUCCUCCUGCCAGAAGCGCCGCGUGUCCCGCCGCGGAGUUAAUGCGACUGGGCGAGUGGUUGGCGGGGCGGCCGUUACGCGCGUGCGAUCCGUUCGAGGAACGGGUCACGGGUGCACCGUCUCCACGCCGUGAGAGGAGGCUCUCUUGCUGUCCCAGGAUGGGACGUGAGCCUGGCUGACGACGUGACCGCUGCGCCCGCCCGCCUGCCACCGCUAUUACUGCCGGCCCUCUUUCGGUCGCUUUGACCGACGCGCCAGGCUGGCGCUGUUGGGUCGCCUCGAGUCGCGGCAUUGGCUCCGCAACCGAAGAGGCGCGAUGGUGGCACAAGUGGCGGUGCGGUUGCUUGCAUGCAGCAACUGGCGCGCCGGUUGCUCGACGCGUGGGCCUGGGUUCCCAAGCUGGCGUGUCAGAAGUUGGAGAAGCGCGUCCAUCUGGCGCGGUUGCAUGCCGCCUGCAUGGCUGCCCGCCCCUUCUGCCCGUUGGUCUGGGCGGAAAUGGGGGGUCGCUUGUAACCGCUGGACGGUCGUGCGCACCACGCGCGGCGGUUCGGCUUCUUCUGCCCUGAGCCGACUUGCAUGACAUGCGGGACCCAGCCCCCGAGUCGCAGGGGAGGGCCUUGGAGCGUGUUGGAGAAGACUCGGCCCGCGGCGCCUGGGGGCGCACGUAGGGGGAGUUGCCUUUAAAAGGAGGGAGGCUCCUUUCGUAAGGCAACCAUGUCUUCUUCCUCCCUUAAGCGUCGGGUCUUCCCGUCUUCCAAGCCCCCGGAUGGGGGGUAUCCGCCGCCUUUCCGCCUCCUCGUUGGAGGAACGCAACUCCAUGGGAGUUGGUACCUCUCAGCCGUCGUUCGGCUUCAAGGAUUUUCAUUACGCAGCCUGGCCACGCUCCGCCACCGGUGGCCACCCAAGAUGGUGACCUCUAGUUCGACGGUGGGGAAAGCGGGCCAGGCCGCGGCCUCUACUCCUCCCUCGGCCUCAAGGAUUUUCGUCAUCCAGGCCAAGAUGGAAGAUGAGGCGAGUCGGGGGGCCGCCCCCGCGUGGGUCGGCUGCCCUUUUCUUCCCCCCGCGCCCGGGGGUGAAGGGCGUCCUUGAGCCCCACGGAGACUUCCUCCAGCCAUGCCGGGAUAUGUAGGGCGCUAGUGGCCCUGGAUCUCCGUCUCCCUGCCUGAAUGGCUGGUUCUCGUCCUCAGCGGGGGGAGUCCUCCUGCCGUGACACCUGCCCCAAAGCUGCUGCCUAAGCCGCUUCGCUGUCUAGGGCAGGGGUGGUUGUCGUCGCGGUUGGAACGGGCGGCAGUGAGCCGCUCAUCGUUCUUCAGUUACUCCGCAGGCCUUCCCCCUCGGAGGGGGGUUGUUCGUACCUGCGGAGGUGGGAACCGGAGUUCCGUUGGUAGUGGCAUCUCGAAUGCCAGUGUUUUUCGUUCAUUGUGGCUGUCGGGGCCUGAACAUGUAUGUAAUUUCGGCACGGAGCCGUGUUUUUUCCUCAUUUUCGAGCACUAAGUCUCGCCUGUUGAUUAUCUGAACCGCUUUACCAAGCAUGAGUCGCCCCGUGUCAAGGUGACGGGUGAGGUAUCCGUAUCCCGGAGGCGUAGGAAUCCCUCGGCCCGUUCGGCCUUGUUGUCUGGGGUUCCUCUAGCUUAGUUAAAGAGACCCCUCGGCCGCCCUUCGGUGGACCGAGGCCAGGGGUAGCGAUAUCAGUAUGAACAGAGGCGGAGUUGGCUCGAGAAUGGGAACCUGGUUGGCCGGAGCCUAGUCGUGUUGUCCGUCAGCGGAGCCGACGCCAAAGUCGAUCAGUCGAGGCCUCGGGUCGGGCUGGCGCCCUUGGAAGCCGGUUGACCGAGGCCCCAGGGGUAACCGGUUGAGCCGCCUGCUCGGGCCGGAUUCCCGGAGGAGCCCCUGGACCGCGGCGCCGCCCGAGGCUGGGUCGGGCUUUGCUGAAGACGUCGUCGAUGCCGAGGGUGCUACGGCUCCCUUCAGCGUGAAGACCUGAGCCUGCAGGAUCAGAUCAUCUUGUAGCGUGUGCUUUCUGCGGCCACCGAGGCCAGAAGAACACGCCCUCGCCGCGCUCGCGAAGCUGCGUCUUUUUUCCUCUUGUUUCGAGCAUCUGGACUCUGUCGGUAACAGGGAUGUUUGUGUGAGCGAGAGUUGCUUUUCGCGGAAGGGACGAGUGAGGUAUCCGUAUCCCCGAGGCGUGGGAAUCCCUCGGCUCGGUCGGCCUUGCCGCUUACGCGUACUUUCACCCGUCCAUGAGGCCCUGUCCCCGACUUAGUCGAGAAGGCUUGAAGGACUGCUUCGGCAGGAGAGCUUCCGAACGUGAAGACUUGUUCGGUCCACGGAAUCGCUUUAUCCGAGCGCAAGUUACUUAUCGCAGAAGGUGAUGAGUGAGGUAUCCGUAUCCCGGAGGCGUAGGAGUCCCUCGGCUCGGUCAGCCUUGGCUGCUUACGUGUACUCCGUCGUUUCCAGGAUCCGCUUUCCGAAGUAGUCAAGAGGCACGAAAGAAAUCCUGCUAAAAAGAGAUCCUUUUUCGAGGAAAAAUUCGACGCAGAGGGGGUCUCCCCCCUUUAGCCCCCGAGGGAGGGUCGGGCUUCGCCGAGGCUAAGCCGACCCUUCCUUGACGACUAAACUUUGCGUAGGUGCGAGGUAUAUGAACAACUUGAAAACAUCUUAAGGGUAGAAGCGACGUAGCUGUUUGAUGUUCCAAGCGUUGCCGUAGAUCUCGCCUUGAUUGCUGGCCAGCUUGUAUGUUCCGGGCUUCAGAACUUUGGCGAUGACGAAUGGCCCUUCCCAGGGGGGCGUGAGCUUGUGCCUCCCUUGGGCGUCUUGUCGCAGCCGAAGCACCAGGUCGCCCACCUGGAGUUCUCGGGACCGGACCCCUCGGGCGUGGUAGCGUCGCAGGGACUGUUGGUACCGCGCCGAGUGUAGCAAGGCCCUGUCCCGAGCUUCCUCCAGCUGGUCCAGCGAUUCCUCUCGGCUGGCUUGGUUGCUUUGUUCGGUGUAGGCCCUCGCCCUCGGGGAGCCGUAUUCCAGGUCAGUGGGCAAGACAGCUUCAGCCCCGUAGACCAGGAAAAACGGCGUGAAGCCCGUGGCACGACUCGGCGUCGUCCUUAGGCUCCAGACCACCGAGGGGAGUUCCUUCAUCCAUCGCCUGCCGAACUUGUUGAGGUCGUUGUAGAUCCGAGGCUUGAGCCCUUGUAGAAUCAUGCCGUUGGCACGCUCUACCUGCCCAUUCGACAUGGGAUGAGCCACGGCGGCCCAGUCCACCCGGAUAUGGUGAUCUUCGCAAAAAUCCAAGAAUUUUUUGUCGGUGAACUGGGUGCCGUUGUCGGUGAUGAUGGAGUUCGGGACUCCGAAGCGAUGGAUGAUGUUGGUGAAGAAUGCCACCGCCUGCUCGGACCCGAUGCUGUUCAGAGGUCGGACCUCGAUCCACUUGGAGAAUUUGUCGAUGGCGACCAGCAGGUGCGUGUAGCCCCCGGGCGCCUUCUGCAAGGGACCGACGAGGUCCAGACCCCAUACAGCGAAGGGCCAGGUGAUGGGUAUUGUCUGCAGAGCCUGAGCGGGCAGGUGUGUCCGCUUCGCAUAGAAUUGGCACCCUUCGCAGGUGCGGACAAUUCUAGUGGCGUCAGCCACCGCCGUUGGCCAGUAGAAGCCUUGCCGGAAAGCAUUUCCAACAAGGGCUCGGGGUGCUGCGUGGUGGCCGCAAGCCCCCGAGUGUACUUCUUGCAGCAGUUCCCGACCUUCGGCGAUGGAGAUGCAUCGCUGGAGGAUGCCCGAGGGGCUGCGAUGGUAGAGCUCCUCUUCGUCGCCCAGCAAGACGAAUGACUUGGCGCGUCGCGCUACCCGCCGAGCCUCGACUUGGUCGAGGGGUAGCUCUCCUCGACGGAGAUAUUGCAGGUACGGGGCCUGCCAAUCCUGGUCUGGCGCGGCCCCGCUCUGCCCUUCCUCGACGUUCAAUGCCCCGCCCUCGGGGGCUGAGGGUACCUCGGGCUGGGCCGAGGGUGCCUCGGGCUGAACCGAGGGUACCUCGGGCUGAGCCGAGGGUACCUCGGGCUGAGCCGAGGGUACCUCGGGCUGAGCCGAGGGUACCUCAGGCUCGGGCGCGUCGUCGAGCUUGACGGAGGGUUGAUGCAGAUCCCGGGAGAAGACGUCCGGGGGAACUGUCGUUCGCCCCGAGGCUAUCUUAGCCAGCUCGUCUGCGGUUUCGUUGUAGCGCCGAGCGAUGUGGUUGAGCUCGAGCCCGAAGAACUUGUCUUCCAGGCGCCGAACCUCGUCGCAGUAGGCCUCCAUCUUCGGGUCGCGGCAGUGGGAGUUCUUCAUGACUUGGUCGAUGACGAGCUGCGAAUCACCGCGGGCGUCGAGGCGUCUGACCCCUAGCUCGAUGGCGAUCCGCAAUCCGUUGACCAAAGCUUCGUACUCGGCCACAUUGUUGGACGCCGGGAAGUGGAGGCGCAGCACGUAGCGCAAGUGCUUUCCGAGGGGCGAGAUGAAGAGCAGGCCCGCGCCGGCCCCCGUCUUCAUCAGCGACCCGUCGAAAAACAUGGUCCAGAGCUCCGGUUGGAUCGGAGUCGUUGGCAGUUGGGUGUCGACCCAUUCGGCCACGAAAUCCGCCAACACUUAGGACUUGAUGGCCUUCCGAGGGGCGAACGAGAUCGUUUCGCCCAUGAUCUCCACCGCCCACUUUGCGAUCCUGCCCGAGGCCUCUCGGCACUGGAUGAUCUCCCCCAGGGGGAAGGAUGACACCACAGUUACCGGAUGGGACUCGAAGUAGUGUCGUAGCUUCCGCCUUGUCAGGAUCACAGCAUACAGCAGCUUUUGAACUUGUGGGUAGCGGAUCUUAGUCUCGGACAGCACUUCGCUGAUGAAGUAGACCGGCCUCUGAACGGGCAAUGUAUGCCCUUCCUCUUGCCUUUCGACCACAAUCGCGGCGCUAACCACUUGAGUGGUCGCGGCGACGUGGACCAAGAGGGUUUCUCCGUCCGCCGGCGGCACCAAGACUGGCGCCUUUGUAAGGAGCGCCUUCAGGUUGCCGAGGGCUUCCUCGGCCUCGGGGGUCCAAGCGAAACACUCGGCCUUCCUUAAGAGGAGGUACAGAGGCAGACCUCUUUCGCCGAGGCGUGAGAUGAAGCGGCUCAGGGCCGCGAGGCAUCCCAUGACCCCCUGUACCCCUUUUAAGUCCUUGAUGGGUCCCAUGCUGGUGAUGGCCGCAAUCUUCUCCGGGUUGGCUUCGAUGCCUCGCUCGGAGACGAUGAACCCUAGGAGCAUGCCUCGGGGCACCCCGAAGACACACUUCUCAGGAUUAAGCUUGACUCCUUUCGCCUUGAGACACUGGAAUGUCACUUCAAGGUCGGAGAGGAGGUCGGAAGCCUUCCGUGUCUUGACUACGAUGUCAUCGACGUAGGCCUCGACUGUGCGACCGAUGUGUUCGCCGAACACAUGGUUCAUGCACCGCUGGUACGUCGCGCCCGCAUUCCUCAAGCCGAACGGCAUGGUGACAUAGCAGUACAUGCCGAACGGUGUGAUGAAAGAAGUCGCGAGCUGGUCGGACUCUUUCAUCCGAAUCUGGUGAUACCCCGAGUAGGCAUCGAGGAAGGACAGGGUUUCGCACCCAGCAGUGGAAUCCACGAUUUGGUCGAUGCGAGGCAGAGGGUAGGGAACCUUCGGACAUGCUUUGUUGAGACCAGUGUAGUCUACACACAUCCGCCAUUUCCCCCCUUUCUUCCUCACAAGCACAGGGUUGGCAAGCCAUUCAGGAUGGAAUACCUCUUUGAUGAACCCCGCCGCCAUUAGCUUGUGGAUCUCUUCGCCAAUCGCUCUGCGCUUCUCCUCGUCGAAUCGGCGCAGAGGCUGCCUGACGGGUCGGGCUCCGGCCCGAAUAUCCAGCGAGUGCUCGGCGACAUCCCUCGGUACGUCGGGCAUGUCCGAGGGACUCCACGCAAAGACGUCGGCGUUUGCGCGGAGAAAGUCGACGAGCACUGCUUCCUAUUUGGGGUCGAGCCCGGAACCGAUCCGGAUCUGCUUGGUGGUGUCGCCACUGGGGUCGAGGGGGACGGCCUUGACCAUCUCCGCUGGCUCGAAGUUGCCGGCAUGGCGCUUCACGUCUGGGACCUCCUUGGAGAGGUUCUCCAGGUCGGCGAUGAGGGCCUCGGACUCGGCGAGGGCCUCGGCGCACUCCACGCACUCCACGUCGCAUUCGAACGCGUGUUUGUACGUGGGGCCGACGGUGAUGACCCCGUUGGGGCCCGGCAUCUUGAGCUUCAGGUAGGUGUAGUUGGGGACGGCCAUGAACUUCGCGUAGCAUGGCCUCCCUAGCACGGCGUGGUAGGUUCCUCGGAACCCGACCACUUCGAACGUCAGGGUCUCCCUUCGGAAGUUGGAGGGUGUUCCGAAGCAGACUGGGAGGUCGAGUCGCCCGAGGGGCUGGACGCGCUUCCCAGGGAUGAUCCCGUGGAAGGGCGCAGCGCCUGCUCGGACGGAGGACGGAUCGACGCGCAGAAGCUUGAGGGUCUCGGCGUAGAUGAUGUUGAGGCAGCUGCCCCCGUCCAUCAGGACCUUGGUGAGCCUGACAUCGCCGACAACGGGGUCGACGACGAGCGGGUAUUUCCCCGGGCUCGGCACAUGGUCGGGGUGGUCGGCCCGGUCGAAAGUGAUGGGCUUGUCGGACCAGUCUAGGUAGACUGGCGCCGCCACCUUCACCGAGCAGACCUCCCAGCGCUCUUGCUUGUGGUGCCGAGCCGAGGUAUUCGCCGCAUGCCCUCCAUAGAUCAUGAAGCAGUCGCGGACCUCGGGGAACCCCCCUGCUGGGUGAUCUUCGUUCUUGUCGUCGUCGUGGGCCCUGCCACCCUCGGCGGGUGGCCCGGCCCUGUGGAAGUGACGCCGAAGCAUAACGCACUCCUCGAGGGUGUGCUUGACGGGCCCCUGAUGGUAGGGGCACGGCUCCUUGAGCAUCUUGUCGAAGAGGUUCGCACCUCCGGGGGGCUUCCGAGGGUUCUUAUACUCGGCGGCGGCGACAAGGUCCGCGUCGGCGGCGUCGCGUUUCGAUUGCGACUUCUUCUUGCCUUUCUUCUUGGCGCCGCGCGGAGCAGACGCCUCGGGAGCUCCUUCCGAUGGGCGGCCCUGGGGCUGCUUGUCCUUUCGGAAGAUAGCCUCGACCGCCUCCUGGCCGGAGGCGAACUUGGUGGCGAUGUCCAUCAGCUUGCUCGCCCUGGUGGGGGUUUUGCGACCCAGCUUGCUCACCAGGUCGCAGCAAGUGGUGCCGUCGAGGAACGCGCCGAUGACAUCCGAGUCGGUGAUGUUGGGCAGCUCGGUGCGCUGCUUAGAGAAUCGCCGGAUGUAGUCCCGGAGCGACUCCCCCGGCUGUUGCCGGCAGCUUCGAAGGUCCCAGGAAUUCCCGGGGCGCACGUAUGUGCCCUGGAAAUUGCCAGCGAAGGCUUGGACCAAGUCGUCCCAGUUGGAAAUCUGCCCCGGAGGCAGGUGCUCCAACCAGGCGCGAGCAGUGUCGGAGAGGAACAGGGGGAGGUUGCGGAUGAUGAGGUUGUCGUCGUCCGUUCCACCCAGUUGGCAGGCAAGGCGGUAGUCCGCGAGCCACAGUUCCGGUCUCGUUUCCCCCGAGUACUUUGUGAUAGUAGUCGGGGGUCGGAACCGGGUCGGGAAUGGCGCCCGUCGGAUGGCCCGACUGAAGGCCUGCGGACCGGGUGGUUCGGGCGAGGGACUCCGAUCCUCCCCGCUGUCGUAGCGCCCCCCCACGCCUGGGGUGGUAGCCUCGGCGCACCCUUUCGUCGAGGUGAGCCCGACGGUCGCGUCGAUGGUGCUCGUUGCCGAGGUGGCCCGGGGCCGCAGGCGCGGUGUUGCGCGUGCGCCCGGUGUAGACCGAGGCUUCCCGCAUGAAUCGGGAAGUCGCGGCAUGAGGUUCCGAGGGAUAUCCUUGCCUCCGGGAUGCAGUGCUCUCGGCCCGCCGGGCCGCAGCGCCUUCCAGGAGAUUCUUGAGUUCUCCCUGGAUUCGCCGACCCUCGGUGGUUGACGGCUCCGGCAUCGCGCGGAUGAGCAUCGCUGCGGUUGCCAGGUUCUGACCGACCCCGCUGGAUGCGGGCGGCGGCCUGAUCCUGACAUCGUUGGCGACGCGGUGCUGGAGACCUUGGGGCAGAUGACGUAUUUCUCCGGCCAGGGGUUGGCCCACCCAUGCCUGUCCGACGUCCCGACGGAUCGGCUCAAGCGCUCCUGUUCCCUCGUUGAGCCUGGCCUGCGCCUCGCGGACUUGCUCGAGUUGUGGGUCGUAACCCCCCGCCGGAGCGGGGACCACAACUAGCUCCCGUGGGAUGUCGGCGCGAGGCACCGGCCUGGGGAGAUCACCAUCCUCCGGCAUGCCAAGAUGGUUGCCUUCGGUGGGAUCCCCUAGCUCGAUGUGGAAACAUUCGCGGCUUGGGCCGCAGCUCUCGUCGCCAAGGCUGCGGCUUCCAUCGGAACAGUCGGAUAGACAGUAGUCACAUGCGGUCAUGAAGUCCCGCACGGCACUGGGGUUGCCAAGUCCGGAGAAAUCCCAACCGAUGCUGGGAUCGUCAUCUUCCUCGGACCCAGAGGGCCCGUAGGUCGAGACGUCCGUCAGUCGGUCCCAAGGCGACCGCAUACAGAACCUCAGUGGGGUUGCACUCGCCUCAAUGAGAGCGCCCGCCAAAACGAGGUCGUUUGGCGGGUUGAGGCCGAGUCGAAAUGACGCAAGAUGGGAGUUAGUCGUUACCUUUCGGUCGACGAGGAGCGACGUAGUCACAUCGGGGACUGGUUGCGCCGUCAUCUCUGGUUCGAGGGCGACGUCCUGCAGGCUUUCCGCGAGCGCGCCGGCGUCGUCUUCUUGCUCAAGGUCAGCGUGCCGCGGGGGGACGGCGCUCGCCUCCGUCUCGAACGCGAGGUCGACGUCCGGCGUGCCUUCCGUCGGGGCGUCGGGGGCGUCGAUUCGCUCGACGGCCGACGAAGCGCGGCCUCCCGUCUGGCCUUGACGGCUCCGCCUCCUCCUCCGUUGGCGGGGGAGAGAACGGAGCGAGCCCGAAUAUUGCUCUUCCACCACGCGGGGAAGACGUCGUCGAUUCCGCCGCCGGCGGGCGGGUUGUCGGCCGCCAUUGUCGUAGUCGCGCGGCGGUGGAAGAAGUGUCAUGUCGUAGCUGCCGUCGAAGGACAUGAACUCGAGAGUCCCGAAACGAAGCACCGUCCCGGGCCGGAGAGGUUGCUGGAGACUGCCCAUCUGGAGCUUGACGGGGAGCUGUUCGUCAGCACGCAGCCGUGCCCCUACCUGGCGCGCCAACUGUCGGCGUUUCGAGACAGGGGGGUCCCUAAGCCGACGAGUGAGUGUGCUGCGUGCCCCAGCCCAGAUGGGUCGAGCGCGUGGGCGAGCGCGAAGGGGGGAGAGGCGAGGUGGCCGGAGCCGAGCGUGAGAGAGGUGGAAGUCCCGCGGCCUUCGUGUUCGUCCCGCGCCCAGGUCAGGUGCGCUUGCAGUAGGGGGGUUACAAGCGUCCACGCGGGUGAGGGAAGCGAGCGGCCCCAAGAGAGCGCCUGUCCCGUCCUCGGUCCCGCGCGGCCAACCUUCUCUAAGAAGGCCCUGGUCCUCCCUUUUAUAGUCGUAAGGAGAGGAUCCAGGUGUACAAUGGGGGGUGUAGCAGAGUGCUACGUGUCUAGCGGAGGGAGAGCUAGCGCCCUAGGUACAUGCCAAUGUGGCAGCCGGAGAGAUCUAGGCACCCUGCUGGCGUGAUGUCGUGGCUGUCGGAGGUGCGGCGGAGCCUGGUGGAGGGACAGCUGUUGGAGCGGUCGAAUCCCUGCUGACGUCGUCCUGCUUUCGUAAGAGAGCUGGGGGCCGCCGUCGUCAUAGAGCUUGUGGAGCGCCAUCAUUGCCCUCCGGCGGAGCGGGCCGGAUGGGACGCCGGUCUUGUUCUUCGUGACCCGAGUCGAUUCGGGGUAGGAUGAUGAUGGCGCUUCCUGUCGACGUGGCGGUCUGUGCCCUAGGCAGGGCGACGUGGGGGUUCCUCCGAAGCCGAGGUUGAGUCUGCCUUCCGUUGCCGUGGCCGAGCCCGAGCCAUGGGGUCGGGCGAGGCGGAAGUCGUUCGGCCGAGGCCAGGGCGGAGUCCGAGCCCUGGGGUCGGGCGAGGCGGAAGUCGUUCGGCCGAGGCCAGGGCGGAGUCCGAGCCCUGGGGUCGGGCGAGGCGGAAGUCGUUCGGCCGAGGCCAGGGCGGAGUCCGAGCCCUGGGGUCGGGCGAGGCGGAAGUUGUUCGGCCGAGGCCAGGGCGGAGUCCGAGCCCUGGGGUCGGGCGAGGCGGAGUUUCGUCGUCUUCCGGGUCUUAGCCCGAGUCCGAGCCCUGGGGUCGGGCGAAGCGGAGUUUCGUCGUCUUCCGGGUCUUAGCCCGAGUCCGAGCCCUGGGGUCGGGCGGAGCGGAGUUUCGUCGUCUUCCGGGUCUUAGCCCGAGUCCGAGCCCUGGGGUCGGGCGGAGCGGAGUUCGCCGUCUUCCGGGUCUUAGCCCGAGUCCGAGCCCUGGGGUCGGGCGGAGCGGAGUUUCGUCGUCUUCCGGGUCUUAGCCCGAGUCCGAGCCCUGGGGUCGGGCGGGGCGGAGUUCGCCGUCUUCCGGGUCUUAGCCCGAGUCCGAGCCCUGGGGUCGGGCGGGGCGGAGUUCGCCGUGGCGCCUUUGGCAAGGCCUACUGCCUGUCAGACUCACUCUGUCGAGUGGCACUGCAGUCGGAGUGGCGCAGGCGGCGCUGUCCUUCUGUCAGACUGGCCAGUGGAGCGGUAGAGUGACGGCGGUCACCUCGGCUCUGCCGGGGGCGCGUGUCAGGAUAGAGGUGUCAGGCCACCUUUGCGUUAAAUGCCCCUGCAAUUUGGUCAGUCGGUGUGGUGAUUUAGUCAAGGUUGCUUCUGAGCGAAGCCAAGGCCUUGGGCGAGCCGGUGAUGUGUCCGCCAUAAAAAGGGGGCCUCGGGCGAGACGGAAGUCUCUCGAGGUCGGCUGCCUUUGGCCGAGGCUAGGCUCGGGUGAAGCGUGAUCGAGUCACUCGUGUGGACUGAUCCCUGACUUAAUCGUACCCAUCAGGCCUUUGCAGCUUUAUGCUGAUGGGGGUUACCAGCUGAGAAUUAGGCGCCUUGAGGGUACCCCUAAUUAUGGUCCCCGACAAGGUACGCUAACAAAUGGUAACGGAGCUCAGGCCCGCCUGUUUAGGGGAUGGAAUGUCACGAACUAUGUGUAGCCUGGGUUAGU
rnacentral:lncRNA from 1 species